GCAUUUAGCUUUAAAACCAACCCGGAUGUUCCUGUUUCUCAUAGUUUGAAUGGCUUGUAUGGGCGAGUGUUUGGUGAGUGUUUGCGUGAGCGAAAGUGGAGUGAACGUUUGUAUGAUUGUUUGUAUGAUUGUGUUCUCCUAUAAAAACCUACACAGUGAUCUUAUUUGAUCUGGUCUGAGUUUGGCUCUGCUCGGACCGGAGAUGAUAGGAAACCCGCUCGCUAGCCUCCAUGGCGAUGAGCAGCUGGCAGUUAACAUCCAGGGCCUCCACGCUUUUAAGUUGUGGGCAGAGGUGAUGAAUUGAUCAGAUAUACUAGUUCGGAGUGAGUUUGGGGUUCGCCCCAAGCUUCACAAUGGACAAUGAGUAAAGAGGCGAUUCUGAUCUGA